GGAGGCUAUACUCAGUGGUAGAGUGCCUGCUUAGCAUGUAUGAGAUCCUAGGUUCAAUUCCCAGUGUCUCCA
rnacentral:tRNA from 1 species